rnacentral:misc_RNA from 1 species
AGACUGGUUGUCUUCUCAAGAUUCUUUGGCGCAUUCACGAAAGCAAUCUAUUAGAUAUUAUAAACCAAGUGUUAAAUAUAUGAAGGGUCAUCCAAAAUCUGGUUCUUUAAGCUGGUAUAACUCACAUCAGACUGAUAAAAGAAGUGGAAUUUACAGAAAGCACAAAACUUGGAAAAGAAAUGAAGAAUAUGAUGAGGCUGAACGGGCAAAUGAUGAUGAUCCAUCAGAAGAUUGGGUGAAUAUGGCAGAC